rnacentral:lncRNA from 1 species
CCUUUACUUGGGAAGAGUCGCUUAAGGCAGCGCGAACAAAGUAUGGACUUCGGAUUGACAAGAGAGACGGGCUUGAGGCUGAAAAUGUUAUGAUCGGUACUUGAGACUUAUUACCUAGAUUUAUCAUAAAAUUUGCCUGCAUCGAGGACAAUGGACCUAUGAUUGCUUGCACUUCAACAUUCUUCAGUAGAUCUAGAGCUGCAUUUCAUAAUUUCAUUGCAAGAAAAUUAUCAGUUUCUGUUCCUUGUGAGCAUGCUUUCUAUCAUGGAAGGAAUGCAAAUAAAUUGUUAUCUGUCAUUUUACUAUUAAAAUGUGAAUGCAAGUUCCCCCUAACUUAUCAUACAUGUCUGAUUAUCGCAGCUACAUAUAUAUGGUGCAGCGAAGAUAUGUCAAUUGAAGAAAAUAGAUGAAGUAAGUAAAGUUUUUCCCUUGUUCAAUUCAAAGUCAUCUCUUAAGUCUUAACUAGAUCACAAUUUCAUUAAACUUGCACGUUUAAUAAGUAUAUGUUCGCGAGUAGCAUUACCUGCAGCAGCUGCCCCAACGAUGUCUCUCUCGGAGUCCCUCUUGUUGAGAAGCAGCCGAGU